rnacentral:rRNA from 1 species
UACAGAGGUCCCAAGCGUUGUUCGGAUUCACUGGGCGUAAAGGGUGCGUAGGCGGUCGGGUAAGUCUGGCGUGAAAUCUCCAAGCCUAACUUGGAAACUGCGUUGGAUACUAUCCGGCUCGAGGAAUGGAGGGGAGACUGGAAUACUUGGUGUAGCAGUGAAAUGCGUAGAUAUCAAGUGGAACACCAGUGGCGAAGGCGAGUCUCUGGACAUUUCCUGACGCUGAGGUACGAAAGCCAGGGGAGCAAACGGG